rnacentral:rRNA from 1 species
CCUACGGGAGGCAGCAGUGGGGAAUAUUGCACAAUGGGCGCAAGCCUGAUGCAGCCAUGCCGCGUGUGUGAAGAAGGCCUUCGGGUUGUAAAGCACUUUCAGCGGGGAGGAAGGCGGUGAGGUUAAUAACCUCAUCGAUUGACGUUACCCGCAGAAGAAGCACCGGCUAACUCCGUGCCAGCAGCCGCGGUAAUACGGAGGGUGCAAGCGUUAAUCGGAAUUACUGGGCGUAAAGCGCACGCAGGCGGUCUGUCAAGUCGGAUGUGAAAUCCCCGGGCUCAACCUGGGAACUGCAUUCAAAACUGGCAGGCUAGAGUCUUGUAGGGGGGGGUAGAAUUCCAGGUGUAGCGGUGAAAUGCGUAGAGAUCUGGAGGAAUACCGGUGGCGAAGGCGGCCCCCUGGACAAAGACUGACGCUCAGGUGCGAAAGCGUGGGGAGCAAACAGGAUUAGAUACCCCGGUAGUC